rnacentral:rRNA from 1 species
CCUACGGGUGGCUGCAGUGGGGAAUAUUGGACAAUGGGCGAAAGCCUGAUCCAGCCAUGCCGCGUGUGUGAAGAAGGCCUUCGGGUUGUAAAGCACUUUCAGUGGGGAAGAAAGCCUUGGGGCUAAUACCCUCGAGGUAUGACAUCACCCACAGAAGAAGCACCGGCUAACUCCGUGCCAGCAGCCGCGGUAAUACGGAGAGUGCGAGCGUUAAUCGGAAUUACUGGGCGUAAAGCGCGCGUAGGCGGUCUGAUAAGCCGGUUGUGAAAGCCCCGGGCUCAACCUGGGAACGGCAUCCGGAACUGUCAGGCUAGAGUGCAGGAGAGGAAGGUAGAAUUCCCGGUGUAGCGGUGAAAUGCGUAGAGAUCGGGAGGAAUACCAGUGGCGAAGGCGGCCUUCUGGACUGACACUGACGCUGAGGUGCGAAAGCGUGGGUAGCAAACAGGAUUAGAUACCCGGGUAGUC